rnacentral:misc_RNA from 1 species
GAUGAAGAACGUAGCGAAAUGCGAUAAGUAAUGUGAAUUGCAGAAUUCAGUGAAUCAUCGAAUCUUUGAACGCACAUUGCGCCCGCCAGUAUUCUGGCGGGCAUGCCUGUCUGAGCGUCAUUUCAACCCUCAUGCCCCUAGGGCGUGGUGUUGGGGAUCGGCCAAAGCCCGCGAGGGACGGCCGGCCCCUAAAUCUAGUGGCGGACCCGUCGUGGCCUCCUCUGCGAAGUAGUGAUAUUCCGCAUCGGAGAGCGAUGAGCCCCUGCCGUUAAACCCCCAUCUUUCCAAGGUUGACCUCAGAUCAGGUAGGAAUACCCGCUGAACUUAAGCAUAUCAAUAAGCGGAGGA